rnacentral:rRNA from 1 species
GACCUACGGGAGGCAGCAGUGGGGAAUAUUGCACAAUGGGGGAAACCCUGAUGCAGCGACGCCGCGUGAGCGAAGAAGUAUUUCGGUAUGUAAAGCUCUAUCAGCAGGGAAGAAAAAUGACGGUACCUGAGUAAGAAGCACCGGCUAAAUACGUGCCAGCAGCCGCGGUAAUACGUAUGGUGCAAGCGUUAUCCGGAUUUACUGGGUGUAAAGGGAGCGCAGGCGGCAUGGCAAGUCUGAUGUGAAAACCCGGGGCCCAACCCCGGGAGUGCAUUGGAAACUGCCAGGCUGGAGUGUCGGAGGGG